UACGUAGGCAGCGAGCGUUGUUCGGAGUUACUGGGCGUAAAGCGUGCGUAGGCGGUGUCUUAAGUUUGUUGUGAAAUCUCCCGGCUUAACCGGGGAGGGUGCGGCGAAUACUGAGAUGCUGGAGUGCGGGAGAGGUAAGCGGAAUUCCUGGUGUAGCGGUGAAAUGCGCAGAUAUCAGGAGGAACACCAAUUGCGAAGGCAGCUCGCUGGGACGUAACUGGACGCUGGAGAACGCGAAAGCGUGGGGAGCAAACAGG
rnacentral:rRNA from 1 species